rnacentral:rRNA from 1 species
GACGAACGCUGGCGGCGUGCCUAACACAUGCAAGUCGAGCGGGGAGAGAUUUUCGGAUUUCUCUUUAGCGGCGGACGGGUGAGUAACACGUGGGUAACCUGCCUCAAAGUGGGGGAUAGCCUUCCGAAAGGAAGAUUAAUACCGCAUAAUAUCAUGGCGCUGCAUGGCGUUAUGAUUAAAGGAGCAAUCCGCUUUGAGAUGGACCCGCGGCGCAUUAGCUAGUUGGUGAGGUAACGGCCCACCAAGGCGACGAUGCGUAGCCGACCUGAGAGGGUGAUCGGCCACAUUGGAACUGAGACACGGUCCAGACUCCUACGGGUGCAG